AACCAAGAGGCUUGCCUCUUGGGGUUGUAGGACAUUCUAUACGGAGUUACAAAGGAACGAGGUAGACGAAGCGACCUGGAAAGGUCCGUCGUAGAGGGUAACAACCCCGUAGUCGAAACUUCGUUCUCUCUUGAAUGUAUCCUGAGUACGGCGGAACACGUGAAAUUCCGUCGGAAUCUGGGAGGACCAUCUCCCAAGGCUAAAUACUCCCUAGUGAUCGAUAGUGAACCAGUACCGUGAGGGAAAGGUGAAAAGCACCCCGGAAGGGGAGUGAAAGAGAUCCUGAAACCGUGUGCCUACAAAUAGUCAGAGCCCGUUAAUGGGUGAUGGCGUGCCUUUUGUAGAAUGAACCGGCGAGUUACGAUCCCGUGCGAGGUUAAGUUGAAGAGACGGAGCCGCAGCGAAAGCGAGUCUGAAUAGGGCGUUUAGUACGUGGUCGUAGACCCGAAACCAGGUGAUCUACCCAUGUCCAGGGUGAAGUUCAGGUAACACUGAAUGGAGGCCCGAACCCACGCACGUUGAAAAGUGCGGGGAUGAGGUGUGGGUAGCGGAGAAAUUCCAAUCGAACCUGGAGAUAGCUGGUUCUCCCCGAAAUAGCUUUAGGGCUAGCCUUAAGUGUAAGAGUCUUGGAGGUAGAGCACUGAUUGAACUAGGGGUCCUCAUCGGAU
rnacentral:rRNA from 1 species